AUUGAACGCUGGCGGCAGGCCUAACACAUGCAAGUCGGACGGUAGCACAGAGGAGCUUGCUCCUUGGGUGACGAGUGGCGGACGGGUGAGUAAUGUCUGGGGAUCUGCCCGAUAGAGGGGGAUAACCACUGGAAACGGUGGCUAAUUCCGCAUAACGUCGCAAGACCAAAGAGGGGGACCUUCGGGCCUCGCACUAUCGCAUGAACCCAGAUGGGAUUAGCUAGUAGGCGGGGUAAUGGCCCACCUAGGAGACGAUCCCUAGCUGGUCUGAGAGAGUGACCAGCCACACUGGAACUGAGACACGGUCCAGACUCCUACGGGAGGCAGCAGUGGGGAAUAUUGCACAAUGGGCGCAAGCCUGAUGCAGCCAUGCCGCGUGUAUGAAGAAGGCCUUCGGGUUGUAAAGUACUUUCAGCGGGGAGGAAGGCGGUGAGGUUAAUAACCUCGCCGAUUGACGUUACCCGCAGAAGAAGCACCGGCUAACUCCGUGCCAGCAGCCGCCGUAA
rnacentral:rRNA from 1 species